rnacentral:tRNA from 1 species
GGGCUCGUAGUCUAGCUUGGUUAAAGACAGAAAAAUCUUCCAGAAAGGAUCCGUGCUUAGGGAGCAUGAGACCCCGGUUCGAAUCCGGGCGAGCCCA